GUAGGUGAACCUGCGGAAGGAUCAUUAACACUGAAAUCAUUGGAUCACAACUUUUUCGAAGUUGUGUUCCACAUGUCUACCCACUCUUGGACGCAUUCUGAGACUGCGAAAAUCAGUCGCUUUUUUUCUCCCCAUUUUUUAAACCCAACCCCACACCAAAAUACACAUAACUAAUGCCAAUGACUGAUAUCACCAGUUUGUUAUAAAUUGUAAAACAACUCUUAACAACGGAUAUCUUGGCUCUC
rnacentral:misc_RNA from 1 species